rnacentral:rRNA from 1 species
CCCAGGGGCCUUUGGAUGGGUCUGCGUCGGAUUAGCUUGUUGUUGAGGUAACGGCUCACCAAGGUAACGAUCCGUAGCUGGUCUGAGAGGACGAUCAGUCACACUGGGACUGAGACACGGCCCAGACUCCAACGGGAGGCAGCAGUGGGGAAUCUUGCACAAUGGGGUCACCCCUGAUGCAGCCAUGCCGCGUGGAGGAAGACACCCCUAUGGGGCGUAAACUCCUUUUCUGAGAGAAGAAGCCCCUGUAGGUUCAGGGCGUGACGGUAUCUCAGGAAUAAGCACCGGCUAACUCCGUGCCAGCAGCCGCGGUAAUACGGAGGGUGCAAGCGUUGUCCGGAAUCACUGGGCGUAAAGGGUGCGCAGGCGGGGCAGCAAGUCGGAGGUGAAAGCCCGUGGCUCAACCACGGAAGUGCCUUCGAAACUGUUUCUCUUGAGUCCCGGAGAGGUUGCCGGAAUUCGUGGUGUAGCGUUCAAAUGCGUAGAUAUCGCGAGG